rnacentral:rRNA from 1 species
AACGAACGCUGGCGGCGUGCUUAACACAUGCAAGUCGAGCGAUGAAGUUCCUUCGGGAAUGGAUUAGCGGCGGACGGGUGAGUAACACGUGGGUAACCUGCCUCAUAGAGGGGAAUAGCCUUCCGAAAGGAAGAUUAAUACCGCAUAAGAUUGUAGUGCCGCAUGGUACAGCAAUUAAAGGAGUAAUCCGCUAUGAGAUGGACCCGCGUCGCAUUAGCUAGUUGGUGAGGUAACGGCUCACCAAGGCGACGAUGCGUAGCCGACCUGAGAGGGUGAUCGGCCACAUUGGGACUGAGACACGGCCCAGACUCCUACGGGAGGCAGCAGUGGGGAAUAUUGCACAAUGGGGGAAACCCUGAUGCAGCAACGCCGCGUGAGUGAUGACGGUCUUCGGAUUGUAAAGCUCUGUCUUCAGGGACGAUAAUGACGGUACCUGAGGAGGAAGCCACGGCUAACUACGUGUCAGCCGCCGCAGUAAAAC